rnacentral:tRNA from 1 species
GGAAGGGUGUCUGAGUGGUUGAAAGAGCUGGUCUCGAAAACCAGUAACGGUGCAAGCCGUUCGUGGGUUCGAAUCCCACCCCUUCCGCCA